UGAGUACGAGCUGCUACGGCAGCGAAGUGGGUGAUGUCAAGCUUCCAAGAAAAGCCCUAUACCCGUUAAGGCAUGACGGCCUGUACCCGAAACCGACACAGGUGGGGUGGUAGAGAAUACCGAGGGGCGCGAGAUAACUCUCUCUAAGGAACUCGGCAAAAUGGCCCCGUAACUUCGGGAGAAGGGGUGCCACCGCAAGGUGGUCGCAGUGAAGAGGCCCAGGCGACUGUUUACCAAAAACACAGGUCUCCGCUAAGUCGCAAGACGAUGUAUGGGGGCUGACGCCUGCCCAGUGCCGGAAGGUUAAGGAAGCUGGUCAGCGCAAGCGAAGCUGGCGACUGAAGCCCCGGUGAACGGCGGCCGUAACUAUAACGGUCCUAAGGUAGCGAAAUUCCUUGUCGGGUAAGUUCCGACCCGCACGAAAGGCGUAACGAUCUGGGCGCUGUCUCGGAGAGAGGCUCGGCGAAAUAGAAUUGUCUGUGAAGAUGCGGACUACGUGCACCCGGACAGAAAGACCCUAUGAAGCUUUACUGUAGCUUGGUAUUGUGCCCGGGCUCUGAAUGCGCAGGAUAGGUGGGAGGCUUUGAUCCAUUGCUUGCGGGUAAUGGUGAGCCAACGGUGAGAUACCACUCUUUCAGAGCUAGGGUUCUAACCUUCACCCGUUAUCCGGGGAGGGGACAGUAUCAGGUGGGCAGUUUGACUGGGGCGGUCGCCUCCUAAAAGGUAACGGAGGCGCGCAAAGGUUUGCUCAGGCUGGUUGGAAAUCAGCCGACGAGUGUAAAAGCAGAAGCAAGCUUGACUGUGAGACCAACAAGUCGAACAGGGACGAAAGUCGGCUUUAGUGAUCCGACGGUUCUGAGUGGAAGGGCCGUCGCUCAACGGAUAAAAGUUACUCUAGGAUAACAGGCUGAUCUCCCCCAAGAGUUCACAUCGACGGGGAGGUUUGGCACCUCGAUGUCGGCUCAUCGCAACCUGGGGCUGAAGUCGGUCCCAAGGGUUGGGCUGUUCGCCCAUUAAAGCGGUACGCGAGCUGGGUUCAGAACGUCGUGAGACAGUUCGGUCCAUAUCCGGUGCAUGCGUAAGAACAUUGAGAGGAGUUCUCCCUAGUACGAGAGGACCGGGAGGAACGCACCUCUGGUGUACCAGUUAUCGUGCCAACGGUAAACGCUGGGUAGCCAUGUGCGGAGAGGAUAACCGCUGAAAGCAUCUAAGUGGGAAGCCCACCUCAAGAUGAGUGUUCUCAUGGCUUAAGCCAGUAAGGUCACGGGAAGAACACCCGUUGAUAGGCUCUACGUGGAAGCGCAGCAAUGUGUGAAGCGGAGGAGUACUAAUAGACCGAGGGCUUGACC
rnacentral:rRNA from 1 species